rnacentral:rRNA from 1 species
AAUCUGGCUCAAUGGGCGAAAUCCUGACGCAGCCAGGCCGCGUGAAGUAUGAUUGACUUAGGAAUGUAAAAUACUUUCACCGGGGACGAUAAUGACGGUACCCGGAGAAGAAGCCCCUGCUAACUUCGUGCCAGCAGCCGCGGUAAUACGAAGGGGGCUAGCGUUGCUCGGAAUUACUGGGCGUAAAGGGCGCGUAGGCGGAUCGUUAAGUAAGGGGUGACAUCCCGGGGCUCAACCUCGGAACUGCCCUUGAUACUGGCGAUCUUGAGUAUGAGAGAGGUAUGUGGAACUCCGAGUGUAGAGGUGAAAUUCGUAGAUAUUCGGAAGAACACCAGUGGCGAAGGCGACAUACUGGCUCAUUACUGACGCUGAGGCGCGAAAGCGUGGGGAGCAAACAG